ACAAAAUAAUCAAUAAUUAAAUUAAAUUAGGUGCGUUGCUGAGCCAACCUAACUCAUUAUGAGUUAAACUUUGAUGAGCCAGAUUGUAAGUCAAGUUGAAAAUUGAUCAGUAUAAAAAAAAAUUCAUUAUUCAUUGUUUUCAAACCAACCGAGUCCAAAUCCGUUGUGAGUCGGAUUGACUCGCAUGUUCUAAUUCAUUUUAACUCCACUAGUCACCCCGGGCUAAUUUUUUUAUCAUUCACCCUUAACUUCUUUAAUUUACUUAUCCUUAAAUGUUGUUUGCCAAUAAGCUCUCUCACUUGGUUUUGGUCUAUUUUCCUCCUUCCACCCAGUCAUCCUUUAAUGUUUUAGUGUUCUUCACUUGGUUUUGGUCUCAUUUCUCCCUCCUUGUUUGGUCUUUCCUCUUGUGUGAUUUCACUUCUUUUUUGGGGCGAACAUUGUGUUUGAAUGACAUGAUGAACAAGCAAGGUUAAAAAUUGGUACAAAUGUUUGCUUUUUUUGCUUUAUUGUUUUUGUACGGGAGCUUCUCUUACUUCGUAAACAAUUUUUAGGGUUCCAUUCCCAGGUUUAGUAGCUUCUCUUCGUAAACAUUUAUGAGGUUCCAUUCUAAGGUUUACAAAACGUAUAAUAUGAUGUUUGUUUUGGUUUAUUUGCUUUUUAUCUCACAUGUUUUGGUUUAUUGCUGUGAAAAUGUUUUUGGAUUUUUCAAGUAUGAUAGGGUUUGAUUUUUGUUGGUGUCUCACGACGUUUGGUUUAUUUUGUCUGCAAUGUUUUUUUUAUUCUUUAAGUUUUUCCUUUACUUUUGUCUUUUUUCCAUUCGGUUUUGUUCACUUAAAUAGAUUUGACGGAGAGUAAUUAAAAGAAUUUGAAAAGAUUUGAAGGUGAUUUUUUUUUUGUUUAUUUGAGUGGAUUUAAAGAUAAGUGAGAAUUAAUUUGAAAUUACAGUUUGUAAGAAUUAAUAUAAAAUUUAAUUAAUGUGAUAG
rnacentral:lncRNA from 1 species